rnacentral:lncRNA from 1 species
CCACGCUCCCCUGUCCUGUAAGAACGAGCCAACCCAGCUUCCUAGGGAUUCGGAGCUUGGAUGUCUUCUGUCACAUCUGCAGAUUUUUUUUUUUUUUUCAAGUGUCGGGAACCAUAAAAACAUGGCAUGAACUGGGUGCAACCAGUCCCCCUGCAGUUUUCCUUGGGAUCAGCUAUGCUUCCUCAAUGGAAAGAGUUGGAGAUAAAAGCCAUACUUUGCAUGGGUUGUCUGUAAGACUUCAAAAAUUAAUUGAGAAAGACAGAUGGUGCUUAGGAGUUAAGCAUGAUAUCAGUCACAGUGUGUUCAAGGAGAUCUCAUAAAUGCUUUAGACCACAAUUAUAGGACAUUAAGUACUAGACUUUCUGUUUGGACCCAAGGGGCCUGUCUCAUGGAUAAUGAUGGUUCGUUCAUUCUGCACCUCCAGAAGACUAAAAUUUGCCAGAAGCUAGAACUCAAUCCCUCUGCCGCUUCUCAUCCAAAAUUAUUUCUAGCUACAUUAUCCAGUAGAGCUUUUCAGAGGUUCUAUAGUGAAAUAAAACGCCAACACAAAAAUGAUAUUCAAAUAAUUAAAGUGCCAGCAAAUACAAAUCCUCUCACAAGACCUAAUCCAAAGAUGUUAAAAUCUAAAAUAAUUAACAUCCAAACUUAAAUUUCCUUGAGCUUUUGAGUUAAAAACCAAAGUACUCUUUUUUUCUUUUCUUUUUUUUUUUUUUUUUUUAGGGACGCACUCACAACAUAUGAAAGUUCCCAAGCUAGGGGUCAAACUGGAGCUGUGGCUGCCAGCCACAGUCACAGCAGUGCAGAAUCCGAGCCAUGUCUUUGACCUACGCCGGAGUUCACAGCAAUGCUGGAGGCCAGGGAUAGAACCCGCAUCCUCAUGGAUACUAGUCAGAUUUGUUUCCGCUGUGCCACAGUGGGAACUCUAAAAACCAAAGUACUAAUGGCCACCUUCGAUCUCUCCAAUUUCCUCCUUUGUUCUGUCUGAGCAGACGAGACUCUUGAUGUGCUGGGUGCUGGGGAGAGAGGGUUCUGCUCGGCAUCUGCAGAGUGGGCUGUUUUCUGUUGGAACAAAUAUGGCUCCUUGAGCUCCAAGAAGGUUGGGGUUGUUCAAUAGCAUCUCUCAUGUGUGCUUUAGUUUUUCGCGAAAUGUAACUGAACAAAGAGUAAGUGGACCCAUAAUGGUCUCAAGUCAUUGACCCCACACCCUUGACAUCUAGAAAAAUGAGCCAAUCCCUAGCCCCUGGACAAUUGUCCCAGGCAAAACUUUGUCUCCAUGACCUAAUUUAAUUUUGCCAAAUGCCACAUCAAGAAUUGUAAAAAAAAAAAAAAAAAAAAAAAGGCCUGAGAUUUGACACUGCAGGUUCAUGCAUGCUAGUAGGAGACAUGAGAUUCCUGGGUCAGAGACAAAUGACUUUAUUACUCAUGACACAGCUAGUAGCUUUUGGCUUUCUCUAAUCCCAGUUUAGAGCCUCAUGUUUGCAUAAUUCCCACUCCCUCCACCCCCAAAUCCUAAGGGGUGAUGCCAAGGGGCUCAGGUAGACACACACACAGGGGAUUUGCAUCACAGCUGAGGAACCCUGAGCGUAGGCAACCUGAAUCUUUUAUGAUGGGCUGGAAGCAAACUUAACUGCCCUUUGCUCCAAAAAGAGACAUUAUCUUUAUUACACUGGACAGUAAACAAACCGGCCCCUUCCUUCUAAGACACUCUCUAAAGUUCAAGGCUAUUCACCCAAUAAACAUCCUUGAAGAGCUAGAUAAUCCAGAAUAAAAGCAGCCUAUGCCCCUUGGUUAACAAAUCUGACUAGGAACCAUGAGGUUGCGGGUUCGGUCCCUGCCCUUGCUCAGUGGGUUAACGAUCUGGCGUUGCCUGUGGUGUAGGUUGCAGACACGGAUCGGAUCCCGCGUUGCUGUGGCUCUGGCGUAGGCCUGUGGCUGCAGCUCCGAUUCAACCCCUAGCCUGGGAACCUCCAUAUGCCUCGGGAGCAGCCCUAGAAAAGGCAAAAA